rnacentral:tRNA from 1 species
GCAUUGGUGGUUCAGUGGUAGAAUUCUCACUUUCCACGUGGGAGACUGGAGUUCGAUUCCCGACCAAUGCA